AUAAACCUGUUCAGAGCAAGUCAAUUGGAAUGAUACAGAGAAGAUUAGCAUGGCCCCUGCGCAAGGAUGACACGCAAAUUUGUGAAGCAUUCCAUAUUUUA
ensembl:snRNA U6 U6 spliceosomal RNA